rnacentral:rRNA from 1 species
UACGUAGGAGGCGAGCGUUGUCCGGAUUUACUGGGCGUAAAGAGCGCGCAGGCGGUCGAUCAAGUCGAGUGUGAAAGCCCCCGGCUCAACUGGGGAGGGUCAUUCGAUACUGAUCGACUCGAAGGCAGGAGAGGGUAGUGGAAUUCCCGGUGUAGUGGUGAAAUCCGUAGAUAUUGGGAAGAACACCGGUGGCGAAGGCGGCCCACUGGACGAACACUGACGCUGAGGCGCGAAAGCGU